GAGUUUGAUCGUGGCUCAGAUUGAACGCUGGCGGCAGGCCUAACACAUGCAAGUCGGGCGGUAGAGAGAAGCUUGCUUCUCUUGAGAGCGGCGGACGGGUGAGUAAUGCCUAGGAAUCUGCCUGGUAGUGGGGGAUAACGCUCGGAAACGGACGCUAAUACCGCAUACGUCCUACGGGAGAAAGCAGGGGACCUUCGGGCCUUGCGCUAUCAGAUGAGCCUAGGUCGGAUUAGCUAGUUGGUGAGGUAAUGGCUCACCAAGGCGACGAUCCGUAACUGGUCUGAGAGGAUGAUCAGUCACACUGGAACUGAGACACGGUCCAGACUCCUACGGGAGGCAGCAGUGGGGAAUAUUGGACAAUGGGCGAAAGCCUGAUCCAGCCAUGCCGCGUGUGUGAAGAAGGUCUUCGGAUUGUAAAGCACUUUAAGUUGGGAGGAAGGGCAGUAAAUUAAUACUUUGCUGUUUUGACGUUACCGACAGAAUAAGCACCGGCUAACUCUGUGCCAGCCG
rnacentral:rRNA from 1 species